rnacentral:rRNA from 1 species
UGACUAUAUGUUUAACGGCCGCGGUAUCCUGACCGUGCGAAGGUAGCGCAAUCACUUGUCUCUUAAAUGGGGACCUGUAUGAAUGGCAUCACGAGGGUUUAACUGUCUCCUCUUUCAAGUCAAUGAAAUUGAUCCCCCCGUGCAGAAGCGGGGAUAAGCACAUAAGACGAGAAGACCCUAUGGAGCUUUAGACACCAAGGUAGACUACAUCAAUCGCCCCCAAAACCCGGACCAAAGCCAUGUACGCCCCUACCCUACGUCUUCGGUUGGGGCGACCACGGAGUAACAAAAAACCCCCGCGUGGACCGGGAACACAACCUUCCCACAGACAAGAGCUCCCGCUCUAACAAACAGAACUUCUGACUAAAAUGAUCCAGCUUAUGCUGAUCAACGGACCAAGUUACCCUAGGGAUAACAGCGCAAUCUCCUUCUAGAGUCCAUAUCGACAAGGAGGUUUACGACCUCGAUGUUGGAUCAGGACAUCCUAAUGGUGCAGCCGCUAUUAAGGGUUCGUUUGUUCAACGACUAAAGUCCUACGUGAUCU